CGAAGGAGGUGGGUCUUUGAGUGUCACCUAAUAUUUCCACUAUAGUAGAUAUUACAGCCAUAGCUGUAAACUACAUCGUAAAAUAACUUCUUGGUCUUAAUAUAAAGUUAGCAGUGUGGUUAAGGUUACGGUUAGGCUUAAAAUCGUAUUUUAAGAAGAGAAAUUGUAUAAAUAGGCGGGGUUUAUGACUUUGUGGCUGUGUUGUAACUAGUGACGACCCUUACCUAACCGAACGAAAAUAACAAACAUUCGAAGUGAACGACAGAGAACGCCGCAGUGUUCCAGGCCUGUGCUGCGUGAGCCACUGGCACUGCCUCCUCAUCCACCAGGCCUGGCCGGUGCCAGAGAGGGAGAGAGAGACAGCAACCUCCUCACAAUACUACAGCCCAGAGGUGUCUGUCUGUGGUCCACACCAACUUUACCCCUAGAGGAGUCAUAUUUUUGGGGCCAUGGAGUCCUCUGAUGAAGAGGAGGGGCGCACCUUUGUCCAGGUGGUCAGUGAGAAGUACAACCCAGAGAAUUUCCCAUACUGUCGUGGGAACGGCAUGGGUGUCGUGGUAGUGUCUCGUCCACAGGGGUCGCCCAUCAAAGAUCGUCUGAACCUGCCCAGUGUGCUGGUCCUGGAUGGCUGUGGCAUCAGUAAAGCUGGGGACAAGGCUGAGGUGGCCACCUUUUGUGCCCAUGUGGUGGAGCUGGACCUGUCCCACAACCAGCUGCAAGACUGGGGGGAGAUCUGCACGAUUGUGUCUAACAUCCCCAAUCUGGACUUCCUUAACCUGAGUAUGAACCCUCUGAGUGGGAUUGAACUGGAGCCAGGCCUGGCUGAGGUGUUCUCCCGAGUCCGCCGCCUGGUCCUCAUCAACACGCGUGUCACCUGGGACACGGUACACACACUCACACGCCAGACCCCUGAACUGGAGGAGCUCUUCCUUUGUCUGAAUGAUUAUGACCAGGUUGCUGAGUCCCCGGUCCCCUGCCCCUCCCUACGCCUGCUCCAGAUCACAGACAACCAGCUACAGGAGUGGAGUGAGGUCCGUAAGAUUGGGCCGAUGUACCCGUGCCUGGACACCCUGGUGUUGUCCAACAACAGACUCAGCUCUGUGGAGGAGGACACACCUCAGGACACACUGCAGCGCCUGUUUCCUAACCUGCGCAGCAUCAACCUCAACAACUCAGGACUUAACCGAUGGGAGGACAUAGAGAGGCUGAAUUUCUUCCCUAAACUGGAGGAGGUGAGGUUGAUGGGGAUUCCCUUACUGCAGCCUUACACCAACAAAGAGAGACGCAGCCUCACCGUGGCACAGUUGCCAUCUGUGACUGUGUUGAAUGGGAGUGUGGUGACGGAAGGAGAGAGGGAAGACGCUGAGAGGUUCUUCAUCAGACAUUACCUGAACUGUUCUGAAGAGACGCUGCCUCAGAGGUACCACGUCCUGGUGUCCAAGUACGGGCAGCUUGCCCCGUUGGCAGAGGUGGACCUGCGUCCGCCCCUGCACGGCCACCCUGGAGGUGCGCUGGGGCGAGCGGACGGAGGCGCUGAGCCUGCGGCUGGAGCAGACCGUUGGGGAGCUCAAGAAGGAGCUCAGGGCGCUGGUGGGGCUGCCAGCCAACGGCAUGCGACUGUACUACAUCGCCCGCGAGCUGGGCUCCGCGCUGGGACCUGAAGAGAUGAAGUACAGCAGCCGGGCACUCCACUCGUACAUGAUCCAAGACGGGGAUGAGAUCCUGGUGGUGCCCAAAACUAAGAGCCGCACCAUCUCAUCCACCUCCUCGGACUCCUAAGAAGUGGUGUGUGUGUGGUGGAGGACUCGGGGCUUAAUUACAGACUGACCAGCUUCUGGCCACCAACUUUCUAUGCAGUCUCUUUUUUUGUUUUAUUCUGUUUCCUAAAUUACGUUGAUUGUAAAGAUGUUUAUUAGCAAAGCCUCUUACUGUACACACACACGACUCACGCAUGUAUGCUACAUGCACACUAUCACACUGAGGGCUCAAUUUAUGGCUAGUUGCACUACGAUUUGCCAUUUGUUUGGUCUGUCAAAAGAGAGCACAGAAGUCUUUUAUCAGAAAUAUUUAUGGUUUUUAAGUAAUGUUAACCCAAUAGCAUAGUCCCCCUCUCUCCCACUCAGUCUUGAACCACAUGCUUCAGAUGUCCUGAGGUAACCUCUGAGUCAGAAUUAGAGGGUGGUGCACUGAGAGACGCUCCAUUGAGCUUUGAGGAUGAUAGAGCUUGUGACACACAGAGACCACAUGGAACAUCACUGACCUCAACUCACACAGGUGACCUGGCGGAAAGAGGAGGAGGGGAGGUGCACUGCACUCAGGUUGCUUCAGGUCGUCUUGCUGUCUGUUUCCUCAUGAAUGGAGCAGCUCUCUACCCCCUUGCUGAGGGGAGUGGGGAUGGGAUGUGAGGGGGAGUGGGUGUUGGAAGGAGAACCCCAGCCCAACCUCACUGGGUAACCACACACCGGCCGCUGUGUCACGGUCACUUCCUCUGUGCUUGGAUUUCAAUUGGUUCACCCAACAGGCUGUGGCCUUCCUCACCUCUCUCUAUCGCUCCCUCUCUCGUCCUCUCUCCCCGUCUCACACCUCCACUGGAACCAGUGUCCAUUGUUUUAGUCAACCCUGGGUCAAUGAUACACCCCCAGAAUUUGUGCUCUCCCAUUUGUGCAUGUUGUCCAAUAGGUGUCUUCAGAUUCAGAGACUUUCUCCAAUUGGCGGAUAGAUGUGAGAAAUGACCAAUGGGAAAUCACAUCUUGUUGUUCCCCAGUCCUAUGGAUAAUUUCACUCAGCGUUUGUUUGCAUCAGUUUGCAUCUACUCUUAUAGAUGGGAGAAAUCAGUAAACCAAGGUGAACCACAUACUGGGUUUAUUUACCAAUUACUCUACCAAUUACAUUUCCCUUUUUAAUCUAAAUUCCUGUUUUUUACAUGACAUAUUAUGUGGAAAAACGUAAGAAAAGUACGUUUGCAAAAGCUGAAUGAACGUGACUAUCUGUCACAGCUAGGCUUUGUUUAAAUAACUGGAUGACUUUUGUCCUUUGGGAAUUAUUUUAGGUGAAUCUCAGGUGCUUCUUGAUCCUUUAAUAUGUUGUGUUUGCAUGAUUGGUAAUGGUAAAGUGUGUAAUAUAGGGUAUGUGGGCUGGGACCAUGGAUUUUUUAAAAGUGGGCCAUUUAAUAUUUGGGAUUGCAUGGACUUUUAACUAAUUAGAGGAACCUACACUAAAAGUGUAUACUAUAGUACAUAUGUGUUUAUCUGAUGUUACAUGAAGUUAUUGGAGGAUGAUCAGAUCGAUAACUAUUGUUUAGUGAUUAAGAUUUUUUCUGAAAGCUUCAAUGCCUCCAGUACAUUUUGUUAUGUUAUUUUGUCUUUGGCUAAAAUCAAAUUGAAUGCACACGUAGAAUUUAUGUACCAAUGCUUUCCUGCAGACUGUUAAAUCUAACUAUUUGUAGCACUGUAAUUUACUUCUGUCUACAACCUUUAACCAUUGCCUUGAUAUCUGUAAAUAAAUGUUUUAGAUACUUCUGGU